AAAAAACCAUCAUACAAAGAUUUAUCUCAUAAAUUACAAUAAUAAAAGUGGUCGAAAGUUUUCUAUUUAUCAAACAAAGAAAUGCAGAUACAGAGCAUCUAAAUCCAGCAUUUAAGUAUUCAAAGCUUAUCCUUUUCUAUUUAAGUAUUACACAAUCGGGCAAAUAUAUCAGUUUUAAAGUAAUAUGAAAUUCUUUAUGAUCAUAAUUUAAACAUAACCAUAGUUCAUUGCCUGAGAAUUGAACUCAGAUGGCGAUUGAAUGAAUCUAGAAAAAGCGCAGGGACUUCCUUUGGAGGGGAGAAAAGAAUUGUAACGGAGGUCACUUCCUAAUGACCUGCGAAAAGGUCCGUAGACGAAAACAGCAUCUCAAAACCUUGAUGAGAACUGGUAAAACGUUAGUGGAGACUCUACAACGAGCAAUCAAAACCUUGACGAGAACUGGUUUAAACUAUCUACUACACCAAGAAGCUUCCUAGCCAACCGAAACCAAGAAACAUCAAAUUGGCUUCUGCUGCAUGGAAGGGUAUUAUAAAGGUAAAUCCUCUUUUCAAUCAAAGCAUGGUCUUUAGGGUCGGAAAUGGAAAGCAGGUUUCCUUUUGGCU
rnacentral:lncRNA from 1 species